rnacentral:rRNA from 1 species
UUGGUUAAGUUAGAAAGGGCGCACGGUGGAUGCCUUGGCACUAGGAGCCGAAGAAGGACGGGACUAACACCGAUAUGCUUUGGGGAGCUGUACGUAAGCGUUGAUCCAGAGAUUUCCGAAUGGGGGAACCCACUAUCUUUAGUCGGAUAGUAUCCUUACGUGAAUACAUAGCGUGAGGAAGGCAGACCCAGGGAACUGAAACAUCUAAGUACCUGGAGGAAGAGAAAGAAAAAUCGAUUUCCUGAGUAGCGGCGAGCGAAACGGAAAGAGCCCAAACCAAGAAGCUUGCUUCUUGGGGUUGUAGGACACUCUAUACGGAGUUACAAAAGAAAGUUAUAAAUGAAGCGGUCUGGAAAGGCCCGCCAAAGACGGUAACAGCCCGGUAGUUGAAAUGGCUUUCCCUCCAGAGUGGAUCCUGAGUACGGCGGAACACGUGAAAUUCCGUCGGAAUCCGGGAGGACCAUCUCCCAAGGCUAAAUACUCCCUAGUGACCGAUAGUGAACCAGUACCGUGAGGGAAAGGUGAAAAGCACCCCGGAAGGGGAGUGAAACAGUUCCUGAAACCGUGUGCCUACAAGUAGUUAGAGCCCGUUAAUGGGUGAUAGCGUGCCUUUUGUAGAAUGAACCGGCGAGUUACGAUUUGUUGCAAGGUUAAGCGGAAAAAGCGGAGCCGUAGCGAAAGCGAGUCUGAAUAGGGCGCAUAAGUAACAGGUCGUAGACCCGAAACCAGGUGAUCUACCCAUGUCCAGGAUGAAGGUAAGGUAAUACUUACUGGAGGUCCGAACCCACGCACGUUGAAAAGUGCGGGGAUGAGGUGUGGGUAGCGGAGAAAUUCCAAUCGAACUUGGAGAUAGCUGGUUCUCUCCGAAAUAGCUUUAGGGCUAGCCUCGAGGUAAAGAGUCAUGGAGGUAGAGCACUGUUUGGACUAGGGGCCCUUCUCGGGUUACCGAAUUCAGAUAAACUCCGAAUGCCAUGUACUUAUACUCGGGAGUC